rnacentral:rRNA from 1 species
UACGUAGGGUGCGAGCGUUAAUCGGAAUUACUGGGCGUAAAGCGUGCGCAGGCGGUCCGUUGUGUCGGCGGUGAAAGCCCCGGGCUCAACCUGGGAAUGGCCGUUGAAACUGGCGAACUGGAGUGUGGCAGAGGGGGGUGGAAUUCCGCGUGUAGCAGUGAAAUGCGUAGAGAUGCGGAGGAACACCGAUGGCGAAGGCAGCCCCCUGGGCUGACACUGACGCUCAGGCACGAAAGCGUGGGGAGCAAACAGG